CCUACGGGCGGCAGCAGUGAGGAAUAUUGGUCAAUGGGCGCUAGCCUGAACCAGCCACGUCGCGUGAAGGAUGACUGCCCUAUGGGUUGUAAACUUCUUUUGUAUGGGAGUAAAGUGCAGUAUGUAUACUGCUCUGCAUGUACCUUAUGAAUAAGGAUCGGCUAACUCCGUGCCAGCAGCCGCGGUAAUACGGAGGAUCCGAGCGUUAUCCGGAUUUAUUGGGUUUAAAGGGUGCGUAGGCGGGUUGAUAAGUUAGAUGUGAAAGUUUGGGGCUCAACCCGAGAAUUGCAGUUGAUACUGGCAGCCUAGAGUGCAGUAGAGGUAGGCGGAAUGCGUGGUGUAGCGGUGAAAUGCUUAGAUAUCACGAAGAACACCGAUUGCGAAGGCAGCUUGCUGGACUGUAACUGACGCUGAGGCUCGAAAGCGUGGGGAGCAAACAGGAUUAGAUACCCUGGUAGUC
rnacentral:rRNA from 1 species